UACAGAGGUCCCAAGCGUUGUUCGGAUUCACUGGGCGUAAAGGGUGCGUAGGCGGUCGGAUAAGUCUGACGUGAAAUCCCCGGGCUUAACCUGGGAAUGGCAUUUGGGACUUCAAGGCUUGAGUGCGGCAGAGGAGACUGGAAUUCCUGGUGUAGCAGUGAAAUGCGUAGAUAUCAGGAGGAACACCGGUGGCGAAGGCGGUGGUCUGGGCCGGAACUGACGCUGAGGAGCGAAAGCGUGGGGAGCGAACAGG
rnacentral:rRNA from 1 species